rnacentral:rRNA from 1 species
UACGUAGGGUGCGAGCGUUGUCCGGAUUUAUUGGGCGUAAAGGGCUCGUAGGCGGCCUGUCGCGUCGGGAGUGAAAGCCCACUGCUUAACGGUGGGUCUGCUUUCGGUACGGGCGGGCUAGAGUAUGGCAGGGGAGACUGGAAUUCCUGGUGUAGCGGUGGAAUGCGCAGAUAUCAGGAGGAACACCGGUAGCGAAGGCGGGUCUCUGGGCCAUUACUGACGCUGAGGAGCGAAAGCGUGGGGAGCGAACAGG